AAGUAAUAGUUUAUUUAAUUUGUUAAUUAUAAGUUUAUUAAAUAAAAUAAUUAUAUUUUUAUUAUUUAUUAAGAAAAAAUUUUAUUAAUUAUAGUGAAUAGUAUUGAAAAAGAAGGUUUUUAUUUAUUUAAAAGAAAAAUUUAAUUUUUGUACCUUGUGCAUCAGGGUUAAUUAAUAAAUAAUUUAGUAUUAAAUAUUCUCGAAUUUAAAAGAGCUAAUUAAUUAUAAAUUUUAUUGUGAAAUAAUUAUUUAAAAUAUUUAAUUAGAAAUGAAACGUUAUUCGUUUUUAAAUUUAUCUAGUUUUUAAAUAAAUAGAUUUAAUUUAGUUAUUUUUUAUUAAAAUUUUAAAUUUUUAAAAUUUUAUAAAAAAUAAGUGAUUUUUUUGGGGAAAAGCUUGAAAAUAAAUUAUUAUAAUAAAAUAAAAUUUUUAAUAAGUUAUAGGAUUAUAAUUUUCUAUUAAUAAAAAAAUGUUAUAAUUGAUUAUUAAAGAUAUAUUAUUUUUAUUUUAUUUAAAUUUUUUAUUUAAAUAUAAUUUAUAAUGUUAAAUAAUUAGAAAUAAUGAUUAAAUUAGUAUAGAUUAAUGUAUUUUUAAAUUUAUAAUAAAGGUAAAUUUAAGGAAUUCGGCAAAUAUAUUUUUCACCUGUUUAUUAAAAACAUGUCCUUUUGAAUAUAAUUUAAGGUCUAAUCUGCCCACUGAGGAUUUAAAUGGCCGCGGUAUUUUGACCGUGCAAAGGUAGCAUAAUAAUUAGUUUCUUAAUUAGAAGCUGGAAUGAAAGAUUGAAUGAGAAAAUAGCUGUCUCAAGUUUAUUUAAAUAGAAUUUUAUUUUUAAGUUAAAAAGCUUAAAUAAUUUUAAAAGACGAGAAGACCCUAUAGAGUUUUAUUUAAUAUAAAAUUAAUAAAAAAUAGAUUUUAAUUUUUUUAAUUUUAUAUUAAAUUUUGUUGGGGUGAUAAAAAAAUUUAAUAAACUUUUUUUAUAUUAUACCACUAAUUAGUGAUUAAUUGAUCCAAAAUUUUUGAUUAAAAGAUUAAAUUACCUUAGGGAUAACAGCGUAAUUUUUUUUGAGAGUUCUUAUCGAAAAAAAAGAUUGCGACCUMGAUGUUGGAUUAAAGUUAAGUUUUGGUGUAGAAGCUAGAAUUUUAGGUCUGUUCGACCUUUAAAACUUUACAUGAUCUGAGUUUAAACCGGUGUAAGCCAGGUUGGUUUCUAUCUUUAAAUAAUUAAAAUAUUUUAGUACGAAAGGACCAAAUAUUUAUUAUAAUAAUUUAGUUAUGAAUAAUAUUAA
rnacentral:rRNA from 1 species